rfam:Theobroma cacao cultivar Matina 1-6 chromosome 2, whole genome shotgun sequence.
GCUGGUUUGCCCGAGAGGUUAAGGGGGGAGACUUAAGAUCUCCUGUACAUAAGUACGCAUGGGUUCGAACCCCAUAGCCAGCA